rnacentral:rRNA from 1 species
CUACGGGCGGCUGCAGUGGGGAAUAUUGCACAAUGGGGGAAACCCUGAUGCAGCAACGCCGCGUGGAGGAUGACGCAUUUCGGUGUGUAAACUCCUUUUAUCAAGGAAGAAAUUUGACGGUACUUGAUGAAUAAGCACCGGCUAACUCCGUGCCAGCAGCCGCGGUAAUACGGAGGGUGCAAGCGUUACUCGGAAUCACUGGGCGUAAAGGACGCGUAGGCGGUUUGAUAAGUUGGAUGUGAAAUCCUAUGGCUUAACCAUAGAACUGCAUCCAAAACUGUCAGACUAGAGUGAGGGAGAGGUGAAUGGAAUUAGUGGUGUAGGGGUAAAAUCCGUAGAGAUCACUAGGAAUACUCAUAGCGAAGGCGAUUCACUGGAACUUUACUGACGCUGAGGCGUGAACGCAUGGGGAGCAAACAGGAUUAGAUACCCUAGUAGUC